rnacentral:lncRNA from 1 species
UUGCUAUCUUGCUUUUGGUGGGUUUUGAUGUAUAUCUUGUGCUGACCUCCUAUUUCAUCCUGUGACUUAGAAUGCCUAACCUCCUGGGAAUGCAGCCCAGCAGAUCUCAGCCUUAUUUUACCCAGCCCCUAUUCAAGAUGGAGUCGUUCUAGUUCAAAUGCCUCCGACAACUUAAAAGUAUAAAGCUUUCUCCAACCAGUGGCAGAAGAACAAGCCAGAAAG